CUGUUUUCUACGGUGCAGCAAAACGUGACUUCAAAGGAGCGACCUCAUCGGGAAACAUACUCCCGUUUAUCAAUUUAACGUUGGUAACGUUAACUUGCACUGCACUUUCUACGACGUCACGUUUCACUUAGCGCUAUCACAUUCGAUGUUAACGUUAGUUAACCGAAACAGGUAUUAACUUAUUUAACAGAUGGCUAGUUAGCUGUUAACGUGCAUCUGCAUGGGUUAUUUGAAGUUUGACUGAUUGCUUUUGUUGUUUCUUUUGCAGCUUUGCAGAACACAUGUAAAUGGAAGUGUUGGCCAGCAACUUCAGGAAUAUCUGCAACAAGUCACUACAGCAAGUGCAGAUGUUACUGGGAUGCAAACAGCAGUCCUCCGUGGCCUUCCUGUCAUCUUGGAGAUGAGAACACAGACUUCUUUUAGACAUGCUUUGUUCGUCCUACGGGGGGGUCUCGGAAUGACGAGAAUGCAGCGGUCUGUUUCUACCUUUAAGUAGGAGAAAGCCGGCGACAGCGGGAAACCCUGCCCGCCACCACACUCCUGUAUCGCUCUUUUGCUGUUUUCAUGUAGCAACGGAGUUAACGUUACUUCUUGCUGUGAGUUUUACCCAGCAUGUAGUUCGGCGGGGUAAAUUUGUACAUGUGAUUAGUGUUAAAAAAUGGUUUAUGUGUCAGAAGCUGUUGUGUCGUGAUGUUUUUCCACGUGAAAGAGUGUUUGUUGUGGGUUAUCCAUUGUUGUUCUAAAGUUAUAACCAUGACUCAAUCUCAACACACUUAAGAGAAGUAGCUCCGAGCUCGCCGCACCGCGAUGACGUGUAAAAAUAAAUUCUGGCGCCUGCCAAAGAGCAAUGUCAGUUGUUACGGCGUAACACCAGUACGAACAGUAUGAGGGAAAUUCAUACCGUACGGAAUUCUUCUAUCGAUGAACCGAGAUACCGUGCAGCUCUACUGACAAGGGCUUGUUUGUAUACCUCUGGGAAAGGUUUUGGAAGUUUAGGAUAGUGUGAUAGUGUCAGGGUAGAAUGCAAACAGUGUAUGGUCUAUGAAAAGUUCAAGUCACGUAGGACCCUACACACACAACAUAUGAAGGCCUGCAUAUAAUAACAGUGAUACA